rnacentral:misc_RNA from 1 species
CCUACAACUUCCCCCUUUUCUUUGUGUUGCAUCGCGGCCACCAAACCAAUCAAAUCCAAGUUGAGUCAUGCCACCCACCCUAACCAAAUCCAAGUUGAGUCAUGCCACCCACCCUAACCAAAUCCAAGUUAUACCACAACCACAAAGCUUGAUCUUCUGUUUGAGCAAAAAAUUGGAAAAAUCUAUAGAGAUAUGAUACUA